GCGGGAAACUGUAGGCGGUCUCCGGGUGGACCAAACGGAAAAACUCGAGUUUGUCAAUGUGGAGGUUACAGAUAGACUUCAUUACGGGCAGCUUGGACACCAUCUGUGGGGACAGAAGAUAUACAAAGUUGCAUUGUUACACAGUUUUGGUGGCACUAAAGAGCUUUCACAACUAGAUUCCCAUCUGAUCCUCACCAAGUGCUUUGAAGAACUGAGCCGGGGCGAACUUCCCAUUGAAGAAAAUGGUGUUGUUGUUG